rnacentral:rRNA from 1 species
GACGAACUGUCCUAACGUUGUUCGGAAUCACUGGGCUUAAAGGGCGCGUAGGCGGGUGCUCAAGUCCGUGGUGAAAUCCUCCGGCUCAACCGGAGAACUGCCUCGGAUACUGGGCGUCUCGAGUGUGGUAGGGGUAUGCGGAACUAUCGGUGGAGCGGUGAAAUGCGUUGAUAUCGAUAGGAACUCCGGUGGCGAAGGCGGCAUACUGGACCACCACUGACGCUGAUGCGCGAAAGCCAGGGGAGCGAACGGG